rnacentral:rRNA from 11 species
GGAUACACCCCCAAAUACUCUAAAGGUACAAGAACCCAUCUUAUCUUGGAAGUUAAAUAGGGUCAGCCCUGGUUAGUACUUAGAUGGGAGAUCAUCAAUAAGUACUAGGUGCUGUAGGCU